GACGGAGGAUGCAAGUGUUAUCCGGAAUCACUGGGCGUAAAGCGUCUGUAGGUCGUUUAAAAAGUCUACUGUUAAAAAUUGAAGCUUAACUUCAAAGGUGCCGUAGAAACUUUUAAACUUGAGUAUGGUAGGGGUAGAGGGAAUUUCCAGUGGAGCGGUGAAAUGCGUAGAUAUCAUUUGGAACGCCAAUGGUGAAAACAGGUAGCUGGGAGUGUGCUGACGCUGAGACACGAAAGCCAGGGGAGCGAACGGG
rnacentral:rRNA from 1 species